AGGCAGUGAGGAGCAAAAUUAUACCAUCAAACUAUGAAAGCUUUCGAGCUUGUUGAUGCCAUCAAUUAACUCUGAGCCU